rnacentral:ribozyme from 1 species
AAGAAAUGAGCAAGGAGAACCAAGAACAAAUGCAACAAACUACGGAUUUGGCGGUAUCAGCUCUAUCAUUUUCUUUUUCUACCUUCUUUUU